rnacentral:tRNA from 1 species
GGGUCGGUGGUCUAGUCUGGUUAUGACAUCGCAUUUACACUGCGGGGAUCGCAGGUUCAACUCCUGCCCGACCCA